rnacentral:lncRNA from 1 species
UAAACUGGAACUGGAGGAGGAAGUGGUUUCGUAUAUUCCGGAACUGGAGGGGGUUUAUAGAUUGGAACUGGGGGAGGAAGUGGUUUCUUGUAGACCGGAACUGGAGGGGCUUUAUAUACUGGAGGCUUGUAAACUGGAACUGGGGGAGGAAGUGGCUUCUUGUAUACUGGAACCGGAGGAGGUUUAUAGACUGGGGGCUUGUAUUCUGGAACUGGAGGGGGAAGUGGCUUCUCGUAUACGGGAACUGGAGGAGGUUUAUAGACUGGGGGAGGAAGUGGUUUCUCGUAUACUGGAACCGGAGGAGGGUUAUAGACUGGGGGCUUGUAAACUGGAACUGGAGGGGGAAGUGGCUUCUCGUAUACUGGAACCGGAGGAGGUUUAUAGACUGGGGGCUUGUAAACUGGAACUGGGGGAGGAAGUGGUUUCUCGUAUACUGGAACCGGAGGAGGUUUAUAGACUGGGGGCUUGUAAACUGGAACUGGAGGGGGAAGUGGCUUCUCGUAUACUGGAACCGGAGGAGGUUUAUAGACUGGGGGCUUGUACACUGGAACUGGGGGAGGAAGUGGUUUCUCGUAUACUGGAACUGGAGGAGGUUUAUAGACUGGGGGCUUGUAUUCUGGAACUGGAGGGGGAAGUGGUUUCUCGUAUACUGGAACUGGGGGAGGAAGUGGCUUCUUGUAUACUGGAACUGGAGGAGGUUUAUAGACUGGAGGCUUGUAGACUGGAACUGGAGGGGGAAGUGGCUUCUUGUAUACUGGAACUGGAGGAAGUUUAUAAACGGGAGGCUUGUAAACUGGAACUGGAGGAGGAAGUGGUUUUUUGUAUAUCGGAACUGGUGGGGGUUUGUAUAUUGGGAUUGGUGGCGGGAGAGGCUUCUUGUAGAUUGGAGGGAAUAGUGGGUGGUGGAAGCUUUUCACUGGCGG